CGGCCAGCGAGCGCCAUUGUGGGUUCUCCCAACUUAGACGCCCAGCUCCUGCCACCACCCCACCCGCUUCUGUCCCCACCAGCGUCGCCGGCCCGGACGUCGAAGCAUGGCCGGACGCACUCCGAGGCCGAUGGCCUAGGCCGAAAGGAUACACGUUCAGACGUUGUCCCAUGUCCUGGAGGAGAUUGGCCGCCUGCUGGCGUGCUUCAACCAAGAGGCAGCGGCGGGGGCUGCGAGCACUUCCCAGCGUCACCGGAGCGGCGACACACAUCCGCCGUGCCGAGACUACUGCGACGUGACGAACUUCCUCCAAGGGGCGACCACCGAGGUUGUGACACACUUCCGCCCAGAAAGCCGAAGAUUCCAGCGCCGACUUCCGGAAUGACCCCUCCGACACCCCGUAGACGAAUCCACAGCCAGUCCGCGGCUAAGAACGGACCGGCGGCCGGGACGCAGGAUCCGGUCGUGUGACCGCCAGGUGGGCGGGACUAUCUGACGUCGUUCUUUAAAGGUCUCGUCUUUCCGCGCGAGAACUGCGGUAAGGGGGCCUCACCGGCGGGCCUCUAGUUAACGCUCGCUGCGCUUGGCUGGGUAGUUUCCGAGGACGUGCGUGAUGGAGGCCCCUUUGUAACACCGGGCUUACGGAAAAAGUGGCAGGGGAAAUAGGCGAGACUCUCAGAAAACCGAGAAAGGACGAGACAGUGAGUGGCCCUGCCCCGUGCAGAAACGCGAAAGCCACUAAAAGGUUCCUGGGUUCUUAGCUCCGGCAUGGAGAACUCCGGCGCGUUUGGAAACCGCUCUCCUAUUUUGUAGCAGCCUUUCCUCCCGUUUCACUGCGGCCAAUCAUCUGGAAGGAAUAAAAUCAACGCCACUGAGCUUCGUUUGAGUGUUUGGGGGGGGGGGUAAAGGGGCCUUUUUUUAAAGAUUUAUUUAUCUUCAUUUAUGUAUAUGAGUACUCUGUAGUGGUCUUUAGACAACAGAAUUGGGCAUCGGAUCCCAUUACAGAUGGUUGUGAGACACCAUGUGGUUGCUGAGAAUUGAACUCAGGACCUCUGGAAGAGUAGUCAGUGCCCCUACCCGCUGAGCCAUCUCUCCAGCCCCGGGUAAAGGGGUCUUUUUCUCUCUUUCCUUUCUUAUUUUUGUCAUCCCUGGAGCUCAGAGGGGCGUCGGGUUUUGCCCGAGUGCUGGGAUUAAAGGCUUGCACCACCACCCCGCCACGCUCAAGGACACCACCGAUCGUUUAUCGUUUAGGUCUGGAGGCCUUUUUUCUUUUGCAUUCUUUUCUCUUUGUCAGUGAAGGCGAUAAGCUUGCAGGCUCAGAUUCCAAACAUCCAGUCAGGGAGGGCCCAAGGUUAUGCAAGCUCCCCUGCGCGUCAGGUCAGUAGUUCUAGGAAACCCACCCCGUAGGGAAAGGUUAUCAAGCGAAGGAGAUCAGGAGAUAAUUUGUGUCCUGCAUUGGGGAGGAUUAUCAGAAGAAGGAGAUCAAGAGAUAAUUUGUGCUCUGGCCUCACUCCCAGGUCCACUUUGUGAGGUUGUAAAAAGCAAGCUGGGGCCGAUGUCCGCCUCAGCCUCCUGGCUGCACCAGGGUGUCUCUGUCCCCGGGCCUCGGUCGCUGCCUUGAACUCGGUAUUGAUGUUCACACAAUCCCAAACUCUAGAUCUUUUGUUUACCAAGAGCCCACUGUAUCCACCCACUAGCAAGGGGAUUGGCAAUCAAUCUUGAAGAUUUGGGGUCUAUUUUUUUCGCCAGAAGUCCUCUGGGAAAUGUGUCUGCAUAAAUGAGGGUCCCCUCGAGGUGGCUUAGCAGGUAGGAGAGGCUGCUGUCAACUCUGGUGUGAAUUCAAUCCCCGAGAANNNNNNNNNNNNNNNNNNNNNNNNNNNNNNNNNNNNNNNNNNAUCAUAGAUCGAGGAGAACUGACUCUAGCCAGUUAUCCCCUGACGACCUCAAGUGCCCCAAGGCUAAAUAGUUUAGAAGCCCAAAAGUAUCCUAGGAUCUGCUCAUGGAUGAAUCAAAACUGCCUCUACCAUGUGGAAAGUUACCACCAGCACCAUGUGGAAAUUUUCUAAGUUCAAGGCCUCUGUUAAGUCGCAGCCCCGCUCCAGCUUUCCAACCUGAGCGGGAUAUUUACCUGGGAUACAUAACAAGAGCCAGGACUACAUAGAGAGAUCCUGUCUCC
ensembl:antisense 9330020H09Rik RIKEN cDNA 9330020H09 gene